AAAGACUGGAAAUAGGUGGGAACUGUUAGCCUAACUUAGCACAAAGACUGGAAACAGGUUAGAACUGUUAGCCUAGUUUAGGAAAGACUGGAAAUAGGUGGGAACUGUUAGCUUACCUUCGCACAAAGGCUGGCAACAGGUGAGAACUGUUAGCCUAGGUUAGAAGAAAGACACAACAGGUCAGAACUGUUAGCCUAGGUUAGCAGAAAGACAAAACAGGUUAGACUUGUUAGCCUAGCUUACCACACAGACUGGAAACAAGUGGAACUGUUAGCCUAGCUUAGCACAAAGACUAGAAACAGGUUAGAACUGUUAGCCUAGUUUCACAAAGACUGGAAACAGGUGGAACUGGUAGCCUAGCUUAGCACAAAGACUGGAAACAGGUUAGAACUGUUAGCCUAGUUUAACAAAGACUGGAAGCAGGUGGAACUGGUAGCCUAGCUUAGCACAAAGACUGGAAACAGGUUAGAACUGUUAGCCUAGUUUAGCAAAGACUGGAAACAGGUGGAACUGUUAGCCUAGCUUAGCACAAAGACUGGAAACAGGUUAGAACUGUUAGCCAAGUUUAGCAAAGACUGGAAAAAGGUGGAACUGUUAGCCUAGCUUACCACACAGACGGGAAACAGGUGGGAACGGUUAGCUUAGCUUAGCACAAAGACUGGAAACAGGUUAGAACUGUUAGCCUAGUUUAGCAAAGACUGGAAAAAGGUGGAACUGUUAGCCUAGCUUAGCACAAAGACUGGAAACAGGUUAGAACUGUUAGCCAAGUUUAGCAAAGACUGGAAAAAGGUGGAACUGUUAGCCUAGCUUACCACACAGACGGGAAACAGGUGGGAACGGUUAGCUUAGCUUAGCACAAAGACUGGAAACAGGUUAGAACUGUUAGCCAAGUUUAGCAAAGACUGGAAAAAGGUGGAACUGUUAGCCUAGCUUACCACACAGACGGGAAACAGGUGGGAACGGUUAGCUUAGCUUAGCACAAAGACUGGAAACAGAUUAGAACUGUUAGCCUAGUUUAGCAAAGACUGGAAACAGGUGGAACUGUUAGCCUAGCUUACCACACAGACGGGAAACAGGUGGGAACGGUUAGCUUAGCUUAGCACAAAGACUGGAAACAGGUUAGAACUGUUAGCCUAGUUUAGCAAAGACUGGAAAAAGGUGGAACUGUUAGCCUAGCUUAGCACAAAGACUGGAAACAGGUUAGAACUGUUAGCCUAGUUUAGCAAAGACUGGAAACAGGUGGGAACUGUUAGUUUAGCUUCGCACAAAGGCUGGAAACAGGUUAGAACUGUUAGCCUAGUUUAGCAAAGACUGGAAAUAGGUGGGAACUGUUAGCUUACCUUCGCACAAAGGCUGGCAACAGGUGGGAACUGUUAGCCGAGGUUAGCAGAAAGACACAACAGGUUAGAACUGUUAGCCUAGGUUAGCAGAAAGACAAAACAGGUUAGAACUGUUAGCCUAGCUUAGCAUAAAGACUGGAAACAGAGGAAAACAGCUAUCCUAGCUUAGCAUAAAGACUGGAAAGAGGUUAGAACUGUUAGCCUAGCUUAGCAUAAAGACUGGAAACAGAGGACCAUGUUACCCAUGAGCCUCUGCUCCUGGCUGGCUCAGAGACACGUUACCCAUGAGCCUCUGCUCCUGGCUGCCUCAGAACCACGUUACCCAUGAGCCUCUACUAUGAUAAUAAUAUGAGACAAAAAAUGAACAAACUGAAUAAUAAAAUAGCCAUUAAAACAUGCAAGAUGACCCCUAAAGUAACUAAAGUAACAAUGUGAGACCAAAAAUGAACAAACUGAAUCAAAAAUAGCCAUAAAAACAUGCAAAAUGACCCCUAAAGUCACUAACAUAAUAAUAUGAGACAAAAAAUGAACAAACUGAAUCAAAAAUAUCCAUAAAAACAUGCAAAUUGACCCCUAAAGUCACUAAAGUAACAAUACGAGGCACAAAAUGAACAAACUGAAGCAAAAAUAACCAUAAAAACAUGCAAAAGGAUCCCUAAAGUCACUAAAGUAACAAUAUGAGACAAAACAUGAACAAACUGAAGCAAAAAUAGCCAUAAAAACAUUCAAAAUGACCCCUAAAGUCACUAAAUCUUUACUGUACACAUUACUGCCCUCUGGCGGACACAGCCGGUAACGACACUAUUAUUAUUUGAGGCAAAGCUGGCGACAUUACAGAGGAGCAACACUUCCUGUUUCAACGUAAAACUAUCGUAAUGCUAUUAUGCUAAAACGUGGUUUUGUGAGACUCAGAAGAAUCUGCAGUAUGAAACAAAAUCUAUUUAAGGACCACUAGCUUGUCGACAGUCUCAAAUUGUGUUUGUUGUCACUAUACGUUCAAAAAUGAACACGUUAUAGCUAAUGUACAAAUGCAUUCGUGACCGGAAGUGUUAGCCGAGCUAGCGGAAGUGCUAACGAGGGUUUGCUAUGACACGGACUAAUACCUUAAUAUGCGUAGUUCUAAAAUAAAUCCUCUGCAAGACACAGCGCUCUAGCUCCUUUUCCUGUCCCAGGUCUAAUGUUUCAGCCUGAUAUCGUGAUCAGCACCUUUUAAAGAGACGCUGCUGGUAGCGCUGGAGUUAGCUUGUCACUAACUUCUGAUUAGCUGCUAGCUCGCUAACGCUGCCAUCACGGAGAUGCAGCUAUAGAUUGUCAUUAGCUACAUUGUGGAUUCAUUUCCUGUUUGGACGUGACUCGGACUACAACAAAAGUAAUUGGAGCAAGUGGAGAAGCUAGCUGUCGUCAAAUACGACUUGGUUUACACCAGAGAUCCUUCUGAAUCGACCAAAAUCGCUUAGUAAAACUUUUGACAUAAAAUGUACAAUAAAGGAAGAUGCUUUUACGUUGAAGAUUAACAGGAAGUGCUGCGCAUCUGUAAUGUCGCCAGCUAUACAGUUUGUAAUAAUGUCGUGUCGUUACCGCCUGUGUCCACAAGAGGCCAGUAGCGCCCCCUCCUGUGACAUGAUCUUACAUGAGAGAUUAGAUGACAGCAGACUCAUAAAAUACAGUAAAGAUACAGUAAAAAUACAGCAAAAAUAUACUAAAAAAUACAGUAAACUACUGUAAAAUAUAUAGUAAAAAUACACCAAAAAUAUAGCAAAAAAAUCUCAUAAAAAUAAAGUAACAAUAUAGUAAAGACAGUGAAAAAUAUAGUACAAAUACAGUAAAAAUAUAGGAAAAAUACAGUAAAAAAUAUAGGAAAAAUACAGUAAAAUAUAGUAAAAAUAUUGCAAAAAUACAGUAACAAUUAAAAAUACCUUCAAUUAUUACAAUAUCACUGUGAUUCUUCACUGUGUAUUAUGCAGAAUUGUAAUAUGAUAGCAAUUUAUUUGUGUUGUGUUCAUUAUUGAUGCCUUUAACCCUUCCAUGCAUAGAGGUCAUGACAGUGUGCAGCUCUUCUAAAGCUGUUUUCUUGUAUGUGCAUAAGUUUUGAUGGCAUAGUUGGACAUCAGCCACUACAGCGGAUCCUAUUGCAUCAUUUCUUCCACUGCCAGUGAUUGGCUAGCCAUUGCAAAUUCUUUAAAAAAAAAAGAGUCAAACCAAGAUGGCCGACAGGCAGCCAGAAACACCAAGUAGCUCAUUUUCUUUUGUUCAAACCUUCUAUAAAAAAGAGACCUUUGCAGGAAAGAAAAAUAUGGUGAAUGAGGCUGAAAUAAUUUGUACCCCCCUAUAACUUUAGCUGUGAUUAAUGAAAUUAGUCCUAAUUCACAGGUGUUGCUAAGCCUGUGGAAAGUGAGUUACAGCAACAACUAUUGCUGGCAGUGCUGCAGCAAAUGCAGUGUGUUAAAAUGCUCACAGUGGUGUUGAUUUUACUGUAUCAGAAGUUGGACAGAUUGAUCUAAAGAGUGAAUUACAGCGCGUUUGAAUCUAGUACCCACCCAAAGAGUAUUGAGCCUACGUUUAGUCAGCAGGGUGAUCGCUUACACUUUAUUACAACAAGGAGAAGGAAAAGACAUUAUUAGGCAGCGCUAUCAAUAUUAUUAAUUAGGCAACACGCGAUGUAUAGCAAAAGCAUUUAUUUAGGUUGAACUGUCAUGUGCUAAAUUACCAAACAUGGUUGACAGUCAAAGCAUGAUCGUAACAAUCCACAUUUUGUUUUAUUCAUAAACUACGCUGAUAUCUAAACACAGAAUUAUAGCUCCACCCUUCCGAAUGCAUGCGCGCUCCCGCGGCAGGGGAUACACUUUCUGACGGGGGUAACUACUUUGGCACGACACCUGUCAGCGUCGGCAACACAGACCCGCGUCUGCGAGACAAACCCACGGAGACAAAACAGCAGCAUCUCCUACGUUUGGGACCCCGUGUAGCCAGCACAGCUCCAGACAAACGGCGGCCCGCCAAUCAGUAAAUUUUGUCCACCACGAGAGAACGGGGAGCAACCGGCAGCCACGGUAACAGCCUAAAAUGACAAGCUGUUACACACAUGCAACAAAAACACAUUAUGGGAUCGCAAGCAAAGGAAACCUACCAGUAACGGCUCGCGAGCGGCUCACGGCUCGAACUGGACGUACAGCAGCCAGCGAGCGGCUCAGCUUUCUGGCUAUGGACACCCAACAGUGACCCUAUAAAAAUAAACGGCCUCUAUAACCACUAGAAAUGAACACAGCCUUAAAGAAAGGGCAAACAAUGCAGCAACUGCUACCAUGCCUGUUA
ensembl:lncRNA